rnacentral:rRNA from 1 species
UACAGAGGUCCCGAGCGUUGUUCGGAUUCAUUGGGCGUAAAGGGUGCGUAGGCGGCGGGGCAAGUCUGAUGUGAAAUCCCGGGGCUCAACCCCGGAACUGCAUUGGAUACUGCCUUGCUUGAGUACUGGAGAGGGGACUGGAAUUUACGGUGUAGCAGUGAAAUGCGUAGAGAUCGUAAGGAAGGCCAGUGGCGAAGGCGAGUUCCUGGACAGUGACUGACGCUGAGGCACGAAGGCCAGGGGAGCAAACGGG